CUGGCGGAUGCUUUACACAUGCAGUCGAACGGCAGCACGGACUUCGGUCUGGUGGCGAGUGGCGAACGGGUGAGUAAUGCAUCGGAACGUGCCCAAUCGUGGGGGAUAACGUAGCGAAAGUUACGCUAAUACCGCAUACGAUCUAAGGAUGAAAGCGGGGGAUCGCAAGACCUCGCGCGAAUGGAGCGGCCGAUGUUAGAUUAGGUAGUUGGUGGGGUAAAGGCUCACCAAGCCGACGAUCUAUAGCUGGUCUGAGAGGAUGAUCAGCCACACUGGGACUGAGACACGGCCCAGACUCCUACGGGAGGCAGCAGUGGGGAAUUUUGGACAAUGGGCGCAAGCCUGAUCCAGCCAUUCCGCGUGCAGGAUGAAGGCCCUCGGGUUGUAAACUGCUUUUGUACAGAACGAAAAAGCUCUGGGUUAAUACCCUGGGGUCAUGACGGUACUGUAAGAAUAAGCACCGGCUAACUACGUGCCAGCAGCCGCG
rnacentral:rRNA from 1 species